rnacentral:misc_RNA from 1 species
CUGAAGAAAAAGCAUCGGCUAACUCCGUGCCAGCAGCCGCGGUAAUACGGAGGAUGCAAGCGUUAUCCGGAAUCAUUGGGCGUAAAGGGUCCGCAGGUGGCGAAUAAAGUCUGCUGUUAAGGACCGGGGCUUAACUCCGGAAAGGCAGUGGAAACUGAUUAGCUAGAGUACGGUAGGGGUAGAGGGAAUUCCCAGUGUAGCGGUGAAAUGCGUAGAUAUUGGGAAGAACACCGGUGGCGAAAGCGCUCUACUAGGCCGAAACUGACACUGAGGGACGAAAGCUAGGGUAGCGAAAGGGAUUAGAUACCCCUGUAGUCUUAGCGGUAAACGAUGGAUACUAGGUGUAGCUUGUAUCGACCCAAGCUGUGCCGAAGCUAACGCGAUAAGUAUCCCGCCUGGGGAGUACGCACGCAAGUGUGAAACUCAAAGGAAUUGACGGGGGCCCGCACAAGCGGUGGAGUAUGUGGUUUAAUUCGAUGCAACGCGAAGAACCUUACCAGGGCUUGACAUGUCGCGAAUCUAGCGGAAACGUUAGAGUGCCUUAGGGAAUGCGAACACAGGUGGUGCAUGGCUGUCGUCAGCUCGUGUCGUGAGAUGUUGGGUUAAGUCCCGCAACGAGCGCAACCCUCGUCCUUAGUUGCCAAUAUUAAGUUAGGCACUCUAGGGAGACUGCCGGGGACAACUCGGAGGAAGGUGGGGAUGACGUCAAGUCAGCAUGCCCCUUACGUCCUGGGCGACACACGUACUACAAUGGUUGGGACAAAGGGCAGCAGGCUCGCGAGAGUAAGCGAAUCUCAUCAAACCCAGCCACAGUUCAGAUUGCAGGCUGCAACUCGCCUGCAUGAAGUAGGAAUCGCUAGUAAUCGCAGGUCAGCAUACUGCGGUGAAUUCGUUCCCGGGCCUUGUACACACCGCCCGUCACACCAUGGAAGCUGGCUACGCCCGAAGUCGUUACCCUAACCCGGUUUUGGGAGGGGGAUGCCGAAGGUAGAGCUAGUGACUGGGGUGAAGUCGUAACAAGGUAGCCGUACCGGUAGGUGUGGCUGGAUCACCUCCUUUACAGGGAGACCUAGUCUAAUUACCAAUAGAUGAAAAAGUUGGUAAUUCGCAAGAAUCCUUAGGUCGUGAAGGGAGCAAGAAAAAACUUUCAAACUGUAAUGGGUGAGGGUACUCGGGCUAUUAGCUCAGGUGGUUAGAGCGCACCCCUGAUAAGGGUGAGGUCCCUGGUUCAAGUCCAGGAUGGCCCACCUGAAAUACACAGGCAGGAUGCCACAAAAAAAGGAAAAAAUUUUAGCAUUGUCUCUUGUAAUCAAGAGCAAGAGAUAAUGCUGGAAUCUA